GAGAUUACAGUCCAGCCCGCUCGUUUUACAAGUCAGGAAACCGAGGCCCAGGUGCCUGAAUUGCCCGACUCCAGAGUCUCAGCUCCACGCUGCUUCACGAAGCCAGAGGCGGCCGGGUCGGUUCACCGUAAGAACCACGUGGAGACUGUAGAGCGCCCGGAGCAGCCCCUGUUCCCGAAGGGGCCGUGGGUACAGUCCGGGGAGACCAAAAGAAUAGAAACGCGGUGGCCACUAGAGAUAGGAAAAACCCUCUGGACAGGCCUGCGAUCACACUGGACGGCCAUCGACAUAGCCCAUAUCUGAGUCGCAGGCGACUCAGGAAGCCCCGCAGACGCCCGUGUCAUUCAGUGGCCACCACCUCACUCAAGAUGUCAGGCUGGUCCUGCCAGCUCCUGGGAGCUGGUCUUCAGCUCUGCCUUGUGACACCAAACCAAGGGCCAUCAGUCUUCAGUUGAUGGUGGAGAGAGGACCCCUUACUCCCAAAUGAAGAAAUCACACCUGAGGCAGAAGGCCGCCGGCCGAGACAGAGCACCCGUGGAACGCAGACGCGACCGUCCCCUGCCCCACGUCCUGGAGGGCGCACUUGGUGAGAGCUCACGUCUACCAGGGUCACACCAGGCCUCCGUGGGGUUUGGCCUUUUGUGGCCCAGGGGCAUCUUAGACCAUCCCUCUCCUAUUUUCCAUGUUCUUUUGAGUGCCUGGAGGCUCCUGGAUCUAAACUCUUAAUUUGUUCUAAGUAAUUACAUUAAAGAAUUGACCGUUGUUCUGAGCAGUGAAAAUGAAGGUUUUGUUUGGCCUGUGUGCUUUGCUUCCAGGGCAUGAUGCCAAGUCUCGGAGCAUGUCUGGGCAUGAAGAAGGGACCAGAAGAAGGGACCUUUGUGGUCCAAGAGCUUGUACCUUUGAAUGAAUAUUAAAAGGAUUUUAUGGCAUUCUGCAAGCACAGACUUUACUCACUGCAAGCCAUUCAGCUUCGACGGGGGUCUGCAAGCUGUGAGUUAAUGUUACCAGAACGAAGGAAGAGUGGAAAAGGCAAGAGGGACGCUGAUGCGUGUGCUGUCUUCAAGUUCCCAGGACCGUCCCUCCUCAUCGCGGCGAAAAUGCAGCGUGAGCAGGGGUAACUCCCAGACAAAGCAUUCACUGGAAGAUCCCAAAUACAGUUGGAAGACUUGCUACUCCUUUAUCGGAGGACGUGUGGGGAGCUUAGGAGGAGAGAGUAACAUGUUAAAAAUUAUGUUUAUUCAAAUAGGCAUAAAUCAGGUUUUAUAUCCAUAAGGGUCUGAGAAGUUGUGGUUUAGAUUCCCUCAGCCGAUCGCUCGAUCAUUUGUGCAGCAAACGGUUCUUUAUCAGUGUUGCACUAAUACUUGGUGCUGGGUUAUUCCCCAGUCCCACUGGGGUUUUUCCAGCCUUUCACGGAGACUUUACAAGGUGCAGGGGCUUGGCUCACCGUCAGCAUACAUGUAUUUGCAUUUUGAAUGCGUCUCCUUCCAACUCUGAAACCAUGGAAAGAAGUCAUAUAUAUGGAAACCUGAGAGGAAUGAGGAGAAAAAGAACAUAAACACAGGCAGAAAAAAGAGCUCAAUGUCUGUCACCCUUACUAGACUGUUAGUUCAGAGGAGAGCCAGGAGAAGGUGGGCCACCGGGGCUGUGCAAUGGGCUCCCUCAAUUGCUGCUUUUCGCCCAAAGACCACAAAUGAAGCCAUUGUUCCCUCAUUAAAAACUGGCCUGUUAAAAAGCCAAGUGGCUAAUGAUGGCGCUGGCCACGAGGGGAGAAGGCAAACCCCACAGGCAGAAGAAGCAGGGGCGAGUGUCACCAUGGGCCCUCCUUCCUCCUCGCCAAGACCUGAGUUUUACUGCCCUGUGAGGGACCACCCCAGGGGUCCCCAACACUUCCGAUGCCCAGAACCCACAGGAGCACCCGGUUACACUAAUUUUUCAGAUAGUGGUUUUCCAGGCAGAUUUU